rnacentral:rRNA from 1 species
AUUGAACGCUGGCGGCAGGCCUAACACAUGCAAGUCGAACGAGUGGCGGACGGGUGAGUAAUGUCUGGGAAACUGCCUGAUGGAGGGGGAUCACUACUGGAAACGGUAGCUAAUACCGCAUACCAUCGGAUGUGCCCAGAUGGGAUUAGCUAGUAGGUGGGGUAAAGGCUCACCUAGGCGACGAUCCCUAGCUGGUCUGAGAGGAUGACCGGCAACACUGGAACGGAGCAACGGCCCAGAUCCUAACGGGAGGCAGCAUUGGGGAAUAUUCGACAAUGGGCGAAAGCCGUAUGCAGCCAUGCCGCGGGGAUGAAGAAGGCCUUCGGGUUGUAAAGUACUUUCAGCGGGGAGGCGUUACCCGCAGAAGAAGCACCGGCUAACUCCGUGCCAGCAGCCGCGGUAAUUC